AGUCUAGGUGGUUAGGAUACUCGGCUCUCACCCGAGAGACCCAGGUUCAAGUCCCGG
rnacentral:tRNA from 1 species